AUUGAACGCUGGCGGCAUGCCUUACACAUGCAAGUCGAACGGCAGCACGGGUGCUUGCACCUGGUGGCGAGUGGCGAACGGGUGAGUAAUACAUCGGAACAUGUCCUGUAGUGGGGGAUAGCCCGGCGAAAGCCGGAUUAAUACCGCAUACGAUCUACGGAUGAAAGCGGAGGACCUUCGGGCCUCGCGCUAUAGGGUUGGCCGAUGGCUGAUUAGCUAGUUGGUGGGGUAAAGGCCUACCAAGGCGACGAUCAGUAGCUGGUCUGAGAGGACGACCAGCCACACUGGGACUGAGACACGGCCCAGACUCCUACGGGAGGCAGCAGUGGGGAAUUUUGGACAAUGGGCGAAAGCCUGAUCCAGCAAUGCCGCGUGUGUGAAGAAGGCCUUCGGGUUGUAAAGCACUUUUGUCCGGAAAGAAAUCCUUGGCCCUAAUACGGUCGGGUGAUGACGGUACCGGAAGAAUAAGCACCGGCUAACUACGUG
rnacentral:rRNA from 1 species